rnacentral:rRNA from 1 species
AGUGAACGCUGGCGGUAGGCCUAACACAUGCAAGUCGAACGGCAGCACAGUAAGAGCUUGCUCUUACGGGUGGCGAGUGGCGGACGGGUGAGGAAUACAUCGGAAUCUACUUUUUCGUGGGGGAUAACGUAGGGAAACUUACGCUAAUACCGCAUACGACCUACGGGUGAAAGCAGGGGAUCUUCGGACCUUGCGCGAUUGAAUUAGCCGAUGUCGGAUUAGCUAGUUGGCGGGGUAAAGGCCCACCAAGGCGACGAUCCGUAGCUGGUCUGAGAGGAUGAUCGGCCACACUGGAACUGAGACACGGUCCAGACUCCUACGGGAGGCAGCAGUGGGGAAUAUUGGACAAUGGGCGGAAGCCUGAUCCAGCCAUACCGCGUGGGUGAAGAAGGCCUUCGGGUUGUAAAGCCCUUUUGUUGGGAAAGAAAAGCAGCAGGUUAAUACCCCGCUGUUCUGACGGUACCCAAAGAAUAAGCACCGGCUAACUUCGUG